rnacentral:rRNA from 1 species
GACGAACGCUGGCGGCGUGCCUAAUACAUGCAAGUCGAACGCAGUGGGGACGGGUGCGUAACACGUGGGUAACCUCCCAUCAGAGGGGAUAACCCUUGGCAACAGGUGCUAAACCGCUACUGAUGGAUGAACCCGGGGUGCAGUAGCUAGUUGGUGAGGUAACUGCUCAACAAGGCCACGAUGCAUAGCCGACCGGAGAGGGUGAUCGGCCACACUGGGACGGAGACACGGCCCAGACUCCUACGGGAGGCAGCAGUAGGGAAUAUUCGGCAAUGGACGAAAGUCUGACCGAGCAACGCCGCGUGAGUGAAGAAGGUUUUCGGAUCGUAAAAUUCUGUUGUGGGAGAAGCGGUAUCUAACCAGAAAGCCACGGCGAACGACGUGCCAGCAGCCGCGGUAAUUC